AUGAGCGCUGAAUGCAGCAGCUACUCCAGCGCUGGCGGUGCGUUUGUGGACGGAUUCUCGUGCCCCAGAGCGGGAAAUGCCGCUGUUGCUGUGUACUGUUGCGGAUUUAAUGAUGUCAAGUACUGCUGUGAUGAUCCCAACAGCUUUUUCGCCUAUGAGUACGGAUACAUGUGGUGGCUGAGUAUCGGUGCUCUGGUUGGUCUAUCCAUUGCCGCGGUGGUCCUCCUUGCCUUCCUCAUUACUGUAUGCGUCCUCUGUUACCUCUUCAUCGCCACCAAACCCCGUCGUCUUGACAACGGCCUGCCCCUCAGAGCGCCAGCGGGAGAUCCCAGUGAGGGGCCGAGUCGUGGGAGAGCGGCCUGCAUCUCUGGUCCGCAGGGAUUCAGAAAACACUUCAUGAGCAGAAAGCUUGACUGUGAUAACCAGCCGCCAGACCCCGAGCUGCUGUUCCAGAGGUGCUUCACAGCUACCGUCCUCAGCUGAUUUUGGAUUGAUGGCAAAGGGAGAUGGACUUAAGUGAGAGUGAAAACACAAGCACAAGAACCCCAGGGGGAUUCAAUGGAGCCUGAAGACCUGCAAUGAGACCCUCACCCUGCACCUGAGUCUCAACUCCCAGAGUUUUGCAAGCCUCUCCCUGUUCCUUAUUUUUAUUAA